UACGUAGGGAGCAAGCGUUGUCCGGAAUUACUGGAUGUAAAGGGAGUGUAGGCGGAAUGCCAAGUCAGGAGUGAAAUUUAUGGGCUCAACCCAUAACUCUGCAUUUGAAACUGUCGUUCUUGAGUGAAGAAGAGGUUGGGGGAAUUCCUAGUGUAGCGGUGAAAUGCAUAAAUAUUAGGAGGAACAUCAUUGGCGAAGGCGACCAACUGGGCUUUUACUGACGCUGAGGAUCGAAAGCGUGGGAAGCAAACAGGAUUAAAUACCCUGUUAGUCCACGCUGUAAACGAUGAUUACUAGGUGUGGAGGAACUGACCCCUUCCGUGCCGCAGUUAACACAAUAAGUAAUCCACCUGGGGAGUACGACCGCAAGGUUGAAACUCAAAGGAAUUGACGGGGGCCCGCACAAGCAGUGGAGUAUGUGGUUUAAUUCGAAGCAACGCGAAGAACCUUACCAUCUCUUGACAUCCUGUGAAUCCUUCAGAGAUGAGGGAGGAGCUUCGGGAACGCAGAGACAGGUGGUGCAUGGUUGUCGUCAGCUUGAGUCGUGAGAUGGUGGAGUAAGUUCCGCAACGAGCGCAUCCUUUAUCAUUAGUUGCUAUGCAAGAGCACUUUAGUGAGGCUGCCGUUGACAAAACGGAGGAAGGUGGGGAUGACGUCAAAUCAUCAUGCCCCUUAUGAUCUGGGGCACCCACCUUCUUCAAAGGCACUUUACAGAGGGAAGCAAGACUGUGAAGUGGAGCAAAUCUCCAAAAAUGGUCUCAGUUCGGAUCGUAGGCUGCAACUCGCCUACGUGAAGUCGGAAUUGCUAGUAAUCGCAGAUCAGCAUGUCGCGGUGAAUACGUUCCCGGGCCU
rnacentral:rRNA from 1 species